CUUGUGUGCGCGUAACGUUUGCUGCAAUACGGUUGCACAAGUCUUUGUCUGGGUCACACAAUUGCAUAGAAGAUACGCAGCUGCUGAGUCAGUGGGGGUAACAUGGAAAAAAUCCUGGAUUUGAGAGUAUGAAAAGUUUUCACGAAAUUUUGGGCAGAGGUGAAGGGAAAAUUCAGGAUGUAAAGCUGUAAUGUUGAUAGCAAUGGAUGGCGCGCUGCCUUAAAAUUCAAUGAUGAAUCAGCAGACAGUGAAGUCUUCGAACUGCUGGAAUAGACGUCAUCAGAUGAAAUCAUCGUUUGUAGAGAUGAAGAACCUAUGAAUGACGUAGACGUACCUAUAUUGGUAUUUUUUUUUGUUAUUUUUAGAACUCCAAAGGUGCUUGAGGAAAUUUCCAUAAUUUAAUACAAACAAUCCAGAAUCAAUGACUAUUUGUCAAAAAUUCUUGUAUCAAUUGAACGUUAAAUGAACACCGAGUCAAUUUACAUUAAUAAUGAUAAUCUGUGCAGCAUUUCACAUUAAUAAAAAAUUAUUUUACUCCUCUCAACAGAAAGGUCAAACUUCGCAGUUUCAAGUUUCAGACCCUUCUACAUGAAGUCUUAAUAAAUUUAAACAAUCAAA